rnacentral:lncRNA from 1 species
CAUGAUCGAUGAUCAAAGAUAUUGAAGAGCUUGAUAAGCUCAACAUGACCAUGCAUAAGAAAUUACUAAUGGAUUUGAUCCUGCAAUCUCUGAUUCAUAUGGAUAGUUUAUGAAACUAUUAUAUGAAUAAAUAUUAUAGUACCUUAACUGAAUUGAUCAAUGUGCUGGUAACUAAGGACUUUGAAAAGUUCAGAGGUACAAAUCUGGAGAACCUAAAGAAUCAUUUGCAUACUUUUGGAAUGUAUGUUGAAUUGUUUAAAUUUGAUCUUAUAAUUUUUUCUUUUUCAUUAGAUUCUAGUGCAUAUUACGCACUUUAGUAUAGGGUCUAAGGAAGGAAGAGGACUGAGGGAAGAUGAAGUGACUCUUUUGAGUCGGCAAUGGUGCAAACGUUGUACUGAGGCCACGAGCACCUAAUCUCGGUGAUUACUGUUUGGAUUUAGCUCUUGAUCAUUUGCAUGGUGAUGCAUUUGUGAACUGAUUUGAGCAAAUAGUGAAUGUCAUUGAGUCUGAGAGAUUCAGAACCAAAUAACCUAAAGUAUAUAGAUGGUUUUUUUGGCUAGAUCAUGUAUGAAAAGAAAUGAUCUGCCGACUGGAGAAAAGAGACCUUUGGGCUCAUUGACUGUUAAGUCAUAUCCAGUUUGUGAAUCAUCUUUUUGAGAAUUAAUGACCCAGCUGUUCUUUAUGGAUCAAAGGGAUAUGAUCACUGAGAUACUUAUCCUAAUACACAUACGAUGUGUAUGGCCCAUUUGAUGAGCCAAACUAGAAGGUUAUCACUACUACAUCACCUUUACCGAUGAAAAAUCAUGGUAACGGUAUGUAUGUGAGAUACAAAUCUGAAAGACUUUGAAAAGUUCAAAGAAUUCAGAUGUGAAGUAGAAA